UACUCCAACAAGGCCACAUCUUCUAAUAGUGCCACUCCCUGUGCCAAGCCUAUACAAGACAUCACACUAUAUAAAUUUCUAUUAGACAUCGUCAUGGUGGUAAGUAGACCUCUAAAUCCUAGUUUCCAAAAUAACUCCCAACAUGCAAUUAAUUCUCCCCAUAUUUGUUAAAAGAAUGAAUAAUAAUGAUAUUUGGCAUCAUGAUUCCAUAAUCUCUGCCUUGUGAAUGAAUGUGAAAAGCAUCGUACUUGAAUUCACAUCCAAAUAAAAGAACUUAGAGGCAGAGAGAACAUGGGACAUAUCAACUCUAGUUGUGGGAUUUGGUGUUACAAAUCGUUCUGGCAUUGGUGAUAAUAACAAUAUUAAAUUUGUAUUUAGUGUGUUAAUUUUACUAAGGCAAUAUACCAGCCUAUUUAAUAAAAAGCACCAAAGCAAUAAACACAGGCCAUUCUAUAUAAUAAGUAUGGUAUAAUUCUACAAGGUAGCUAUUUUGGAAUUUGAUCUUAUUCUUAGUAAAGUUGAGGCUUAAAUGACUUACCUGAGACUAAUGUCUACAAAACAAAAAGCAUGUAUAGAAACAAAAAAGGGAACAUGUAUAGACAGAGCCAAGACAAGGCAGGCAAAGAAGGUAGGACUUAGAAUUGGAAGGGAGGUGCUCAUAAGGAGAGGUCUGAGGUAAUCACAGUCAGUCCAGCAAGGAAUUUGGUUUCCAGAAUAGCCCAUACAGAAGUGCAGUUUGCGCAGAAAUGGUCAAUCUCUGACAUGGGAGCUGUACUUUCAGUGGCUGGUUUGACUAGGAAACUGAGAUGGAUCCUGGAGUCCUGAAGUGAGCACAACCCCAGUAGGUGCUUUUUAAAAAAAGUGGAGUCACUGUGUGUGGCCCCUGUGGUGUCACUCUGGAGAGACAUGUCCAAAAUUAUCCUCAGCAAUAAAAAAGCAGUAACAGUUUAUUGGGCACUUAUAAUGUCCUGCCUGGGUUUGGUACUUUGUUUCUAUCCUUAUUGCUACAUAGCUUUUAAAAACUCCACAUCCUGCUGCAUUCGUGUGGUUCCUUCUAAUGGUAUGAUUGACUUUUCUUCCACACUUCAUGCUUUUGUACUAUAGAAUUCUAUUAAUCUUGUAUGUCAAGAUUUAUCACAAAGAUCAGCCGAUAUCUUCCCAUUCAUUUCCUCAACAAACUAGAUGAAAGAACAGAAGGCAGAAGGAGAGAAUCAUAAACAGUCACCUGAUCUGAACAGCCUAAAGAUAGUUCCUGAAGGCUAUCUUUGUAAUGCUUCCUGCUCAGUUAGCUGGACUGCUGAUUAUUUCUAAAACUCUUCUCAGAGUGCCCUUGCUUCCCUCCUCCCUUCUUUCUUGUGAUGAGACCACACUAUGUAGCUUUGGGUGGCCUGGAACUCAAGCUCACCACGUAAACCAGGAUGGCCUGCUACUCAUAGACAUUUGUCUGCCUCUGCUUCGCAAGUUCUAGAAUCAAAGGAGUGCCGUCAUGUUCAUCUUCAAGAAAACUCCAAGAUAACACUUCAUCGACUAUGAAUGGGAAAUGGGUUUUUGUUUUCUUAAAACAUUCAGCAUCAAUGGCAAUAACAUGAAAUAGAACUGGACAUGUUGGGUAGGAUCCCCAAGCAUCAACUCUGAGAAUGUCCUUGGUAGAGGCCAGAAGAGCUCCUGGUCUUUCUGUCUUCAUCUACACAAUGAGCACCUCUGCCUAGAGACUGCACUUAACUAUAUGACUAUGUGACUGCUGGCUGAAACCAACAAAAGGCCCCUGAACACUUGGUUGGACCAACAGGACUGACCAGCUAAUCCCCCUUAACCUCACUUCUGUUUCUGUCAUAAGCCCUUGAUAAAGCUCCACUAAACUAGCAGUUCAGUGGUACUCUAUGUCCUGGGAACCACACUUCUCCAUCUCCUUGUUUUGUUUUGUUUUUUUUCUUUUUUCCUUUGUUUUGUUCCCACCUAUAAAUCUAUAAAAAACUUCUCUCUAAACCUGGUCCUCUAUGGUCCAUGCAUUUCAUUCUUCAAAUUAUUGAAACAAGAACCUGAAAAACACUGGCUUAGGGGAGUUUCCAGACACCUAGCCACACCUGCCUCACCUUCCCCUACAGCUAGCCCCACUCAAGUGCGAGAGAAGCUUUGCACUUUUCAAAGGCUUGCAGUAUCCUCCUAUCAAUAACAAUAAAAUGAAGUCACCGGGUGACAUACUUUUUUCAAAGCCAGCAGUGUGUCUCAUCACAGUAGUGACGCAUCCUGAGGCAAGCGCCAUCGAGUUGUUGGCAAAUAUCAUGGAAUAUUUUCAUAAAAACUCUGUUUAUCUAGCCAGAUGUUUCCAACCACCCUGACACGUUGAUCCUUUAAAGUUCCUCAUGUUGAGGUGACCCCUUACUAUAAGUUAUUUUUGUUACCGUCUUGAAUUUUGUUACUGUUGUGAAUUGUAAUGCAGAUAUCUGAUAUGCAGGAUACAUAAUAUGUUACCCUUAUGAAAAGGUCAUUGAAUCCCAAAAGGGUUGUGACCUACUGGUUAAGAACCUCUGAUCUAGACCAAUGACUCUAUAUAAUCUUCUGCUUCAAUGAAGAGACAUAGUAAAUACAAGUUUGACAAAGCUGUUGCACUACUAACAUGGUUGAUAUAGUACGCUAUUUACAGUAAUCCUCCCUUAGUAAUAAUUGGAAGACUUGCCUUGGAUGCAGUGUGUGGCCACAGUGUCCCGGAUCUAGAAUGCCAGCACUUGAAAGGCUAAGACUAAAGGAUGAAGACAUCAUAGCCACUUUGGAUUACAACUCAGACAUCAUCAUAAAAACAAAAAGACAGGUGUUUGCUCUCAGUACUAAAUAGCAUUGCCAUGUGAUUCAUAAACUUGCUUUUACAUGACUGGCAGCAGUGUUUACUUAUUGUAGCCCCUCCCCAUAAACGCAUGAAUAAUAUACUGGGAGAAUAGCUUAGCUACAAUAACUUUCUAUCUGACAUCCUGUGAAGGAACCUGUCUCAAAAUUGUGUAUCCUUGCUUACAAGAUAGCAGAGAUAGGCCAGCAGAGAACACAGCAUGAAUCUAAUAAUGGAAGACCACAGAGCACACACUCCCUGUUAGUUCUGUCUUGCUUGCUUCAUUUUUGACUAUAAAGUAUGAAGUAUCUACAGUUUUAUUCAGAUAAUGUACGAAAAGAUACCUUUGAAUUUGGUAGAAUCGUGAGCAUGUCAUUUUAAAGAAAUAUUCUUCAUAUUUUAGUAGAUUAAGUAGUAUAUAAUGUAGCCACCUUUUAGGUCAAUCUGAGAGUAAUCUUCUGAUGACAGAUUAGAAAACAGAAGCUUAGAAAAGUAAGUGAUUUUUCUGUGGGUUCGCGACUGGCAACUAUAAAAAUAAUAACGAAAUGAGGGCAUGAGGUUUUAAAUUCGAACUCUAGAAUGCAAUGAAGAAAGUGAGGCUUCUCUAAUGACUAAUGCAGUCGAAUACAAAAGAAGAGAAACAGGUUUUCCAAGUGAGCUGUUCAGACUGGAAGCAGCUGAGCUGUGAAGUGCUGAGCUAAUGUCAAUUAUGACCCCGCUCCCAGUCCACUAUCUGCAUGGACUGCAUCAGCCUGGGCCUUUGAAUCAACACUUUAAGAAGCAUCUAUUCCAUCAAGAGUCAGAUUUUCCCAUGGGUCACCGAACCUGAUGACCUCCUUGGCUGAGCAUGCGCCUUGUCCAAUGUACCAUCAUCACUUCUUGCUGUUACCCACAGCAACUACUUCCUAUGCUCACUAACUAGUCUUUGAACUGAUGCACAACACAAGACCUCAUAUUUCCAGCCCCUGUGUCUCCCUGCCCCUUUCUCAUCCGAUCUGCAGUGUACCCUAGAGAUCUUUACCACCCAUUUUUUUCCUUUAUCAAGUAACUCCCCUGUUUAAAACACCUCACUCAGUUGUUUUUGGCUUUGGUUUUUGGUUUUUUGUUUUUAAAUCAUUUUGGAACAAACUCCUAUGAUCCCUCUGUGUCUGACCUCACUAACCCUUUGUUCCUCUGGUUGCUCAUUGUCUUAAAACAUUUGACAAUCAAGCUGUCCAGAUCCCUUUUCUCUUUCUUAUCUUCCUGUCUUUCUGUCUUCUCUGCCUGAAAUAUUUCAACAUGUUUUUAAUGACAGCUCAUUUGCACUGCUUGGGAAAUUUUUAUUGUAAAUAAUUUACUUCCUCAGUGGCUCCUCCUUAAAUGGCUGCUAGUUAACUUUAUUACUUUAUCUGUAAAUAUUUCUUAAAGCCACGUGUAAUUAAUUUCCCUGCUCUCCUGAAACAGAAACACCAAGCUACCUGAGAUUUGAUUGUCUCAUCGAGAGAUCUCCAGUAUUAUUAAAUGUCAAUUGAAAGAAUACCACUUUACUCUCCGGAUUUCAGAAUCAGGUUUGUCAGGAGCAGAUUUUUACUGGAUUAAUAUUAGGAUUAACAAAUGAUUAAAUUUGGUAUCUCUUACUCUGUACUGUUCACUUUCAGACAAAUUCAUCCAGCAUAAGAGAGAAGUUGUAAAAGUUGACCCUACACUACUUAACAAAGAAGACUUUCGUGAAAAAAACCAUUGGGCAAUAGGACAGCUAAGCUAUGUGUCAUCGUUUUACUUUCAAAGCUUUGCAGUUUAGGUUGGCUUCCUUUUAUUGUUAUAAGCAAUGCCAGGAUGAAAAGAUAAAUUCAACCAAGUGAAUUCUGAAACAGCAGAAUUACAUCUUUACAAGAAGAGACCAGAACCAAGCUAGCUGGCCUACAGUGGCAAAAGUGAAGGUCAAGUCCCCAAAUGCAGAAAAUUCUUUCCUUUUCAGAAUCAGAUCCCUUCCUCAGUUAAUGACAUGAUUUUAGGAAACCUAUGUUCCAGGGAGAGACAGUGAAGAAUAUCCUCCGUCUCGUACACUGGCUGAGGCCGUUCCUGCUUUAACCUGAAUCUGAUCUCCUUGAUAGAAUAUGCUGGUGGAAAACUACCCAACCCUGUUCUAGGAACCAAAGGUCACGAUGUCCGAGCCAACUUAAGCCUUGCCUUUGUUCAAACUGUUUGUGUGGAACUCCCUCCAGUGAACCCCUUAUCUUACUUUCUAUUAAAACUGCUUGCCUCAAACUGUUUACUUCUGCAAAGCCCCCCUGCAGCUGCUGAGUCAGAGGCCAAGACAGUCUCUGCUAGUACAAACCCAGAGUUCUAGAGACUCAGAUCCCCAAACUGGGGUAGGAUCCCAGACUGCUAGAUAAAAUAAAGACUUUUAAUUGGCUAUA
rnacentral:sRNA from 1 species